UAAACUGAACUUUUCCAUGCAGUCAGCAUUAGGGUUUUAAACCCUAAACUGAAUUCUCCUUUUAGUCAGCAUUAGGGUUUUAAACCCUAAACUGAACUUUUCCUUUCAGCCAGCAUUAGGGUUUUAAACCCUAAACUGAACUUUUCCUUUCAGCCAGUAUUAGAGUUUUAAACCCUAAACUGAGCUUUCCCAUGCAAUCAACAUUAGGGUUUUAAACCCUAAACUGAGUUCUUCCUUUGAUCGGCGUUAGGGUUUUAACCCCCAAACCGAACCUCUCCCCAGCUGGCCAGUGUUAGGGCUCCAACCCUGAACUGAGCAUGCAUAUCCUCUUUCAUCAAUUUUAUGAACUUCCUGGUGAAUAAUUAACGAAAUUUUCCUAGUGAAACUGGGGCAGAAAAUUUCGUUCGUUUGUUUGUUUUUUCCCGCAGGUCUAACCUCGAGCCACACGGAUCGAAAUGACCUACGAGAUGAGUCUCAACUCAGAAUCAAAGAAGAAAAGACAAAAGAAGAC
rnacentral:lncRNA from 1 species